rnacentral:rRNA from 1 species
GACAGAGGGGGCAAGCGUUGCUCGGAAUUACUGGGCGUAAAGGGCGCGUAGGCGGCCUGGUCAGUCGGAUGUGAAAGCCCGGGGCUCAACCCCGGAACGGCAUCCGAGACGGCCAGGCUGGAGACCGGGAGAGGAGAGUGGAAUAGCCAGUGUAGAGGUGAAAUUCGUAGAUAUUGGCUGGAACACCGGUGGCGAAAGCGGCUCUCUGGCCCGGUUCUGACGCUGAGGCGCGAAAGCGUGGGGAGCAAACAGG